rnacentral:tRNA from 1 species
GGGCGGAUAGUUCAGUGGGAGAACGUCUGCUUGACGCGCAGAAGGUCGCUGGUUCGAUUCCAGCUCCGCCCA